CGGGUUUUAUUAUGCUCAUCACCUUUCACCGUUGUACUUCUCUAUUUUCUCCAACAGUUCUCAGUUUCUCUCCUGGAAAUAUCAAUUCUUCUGUUGAGCCUUUCUCUAAUAUUGUACUGCCCUUUUUUAUUUGCGUUGCUUCCUGUUUUAUUAGUCUUUUAUUGAGAAUUUGUGAAUAAAAAAUAUAGUUCUGUUGGUUUUCAAAUAAAGUACUGAUUAAAAAUAUGUGAAUAAAAAAUUAUUGUUCUGUUGGUUCUAGAAUAAAGCACUGAAAGCUCUUUCUUUGGGUCAGUAUUAUGGUUAAAAUUUUAAUUACAUCUUCUACAGAUUGAGCUGCCACACUUCUAACAAAAUUCGUAUGAUUGCUAAAAUUGCAAAAGUGCAUGGGAUAGGUUUCCAAAGAAAAUAUUAAUUUUGUUUUCCUAACUUUGGGUAUCGAGGCAUCGAAAGGUAAAACUUUGGGUAUCGAGGCAAGCACCGCAGUAGGAUACGAUUCUUCUCAAACGGUUAUGGGUGUCUUUGUUUGUGCCUAAGUAUAUGAAUGUUGUGAGCUAUGAAGUAUAUGUCCAUCUUGCUGACUGCAACAAAUGCUUGUGCUCGCAUUCAUCUGCUGAGGACUAAACAACUAGAAUGUUGUUCAAGCAGUUGGCAGUUAGACAAUGGAAUGAGGAACUACUGGAUACUGUGACUCGAAGCUGUGGAAAGGGAAUGUGCUGUUGUUCUUUUGUCUACAAAAUGGCAUUUUUACUGUAAAUUUAAACUUCGUUCAACUUUAACUACCACUGCUAUGUAAAAAAGAACUAAGAAAAUUGAAUACGAAGGUUGAGCAAGGAAUGUCUGUUGUCUUUCUGUUGUCUGCUAUUGGUCUUGUAAUAGGUCUUAUGGCCAAUCUCAUCUAGUAUAUGAAUCAACAGUCUCAGCUAGAUAUAGGAUUUUUAGUUAGUAGAUUAGAUAUGAUGUAACAUUAUAAUAAUUAUAUCUUGUGGCAAUAUGAGCAUUCUUAAUAAUAUUCAAUUA